UUUCUUGGUCAUUUAGAGGAAGUAAAAGUCGUAACAAGGUUUCCGUAGGUGAACCUGCGGAAGGAUCAUUACAUUCAGUAGCUUGCUACUGGUCGGGAGGCGCUGUAACUCCGCAUAGUAUUCAUUUACUGAUGAGCGGCUGGCCCUCUGUCUGUACCCUUGUCUUUUGCGCACUCAUGUUUCCUCGGCGGGCUUGCCCGCCGACUGGACAAAACUAUAACCUUUUUAAUUUUCAAUCAGCGUCUGAAAAAACUUAAUAAUUACAACUUUCAACAACGGAUCUCUUGGUUCUGGCAUCGAUGAAGAACGCAGCGAAAUGCGAUAAGUAGUGUGAAUUGCAGAAUUCAGUGAAUCAUCGAAUCUUUGAACGCACAUUGCGCCCCUUGGUAUUCCAUGGGGCAUGCCUGUUCGAGCGUCAUUUGUACCCUCAAGCUCUGCUUGGUGUUGGGUGUUUGUCCUCUCCUCUGCGUUUGGACUCGCCUUAAAGCAAUUGGCAGCCAGUGUUUUGGUAUUGAAGCGCAGCACAUUUUGCGAUUCUAGCCGAUAAUACUUGCGUCCAUAAGCCUUUUUUAACUUUUGACCUCGGAUCAGGUAGGGAUACCCGCUGAACUUAAGCAUAUCAAUAAGCGGAGG
rnacentral:rRNA from 1 species